rnacentral:rRNA from 1 species
UACGGAGGGUGCAAGCGUUAUCCGGAUUCACUGGGUUUAAAGGGUGCGUAGGAGGGCAGGUAAGUCAGUGGUGAAAUCCUGGGGCUUAACCCCAGACUGCCGUUGAUACUAUCGGUCUUGAAUGUCGUGGAGGUGAGCGGAAUAUGUCAUGUAGCGGUGAAAUGCUUAGAUAUGACAUAGUAACACCAAUUGCGAAAGGCAGC